rnacentral:rRNA from 1 species
UCGAGCGAACAGAUAAGGAGCUUGCUCCUUUGACGUUAGCGGCGGACGGGUGAGUAACACGUGGGUAACCUACCUAUAAGACUGGGAUAACUUCGGGAAACCGGAGCUAAUACCGGAUAACAUUUGGAACCGCAUGGUUCUAAAGUGAAAGAUGGUUUUGCUAUCACUUAUAGAUGGACCCGCGCCGUAUUAGCUAGUUGGUAAGGUAACGGCUUACCAAGGCGACGAUACGUAGCCGACCUGAGAGGGUGAUCGGCCACACUGGAACUGAGACACGGUCCAGACUCCUACGGGAGGCAGCAGUAGGGAAUCUUCCGCAAUGGGCGAAAGCCUGACGGAGCAACGCCGCGUGAGUGAUGAAGGGUUUCGGCUCGUAAAACUCUGUUAUUAGGGAAGAACAAACGUGUAAGUAACUGUGCACGUCUUGACGGUACCUAAUCAGAAAGCCACGGCUAACUACGUGCCAGCAGCCGCGGUAAUACGUAGGUGGCAAGCGUUAUCCGGAAUUAUUGGGCGUAAAGCGCGCGUAGGCGGUUUCUUAAGUCUGAUGUGAAAGCCCACGGCUCAACCGUGGAGGGUCAUUGGAAACUGGGAAACUUGAGUGCAGAAGAGGAAAGUGGAAUUCCAUGUGUAGCGGUGAAAUGCGCAGAGAUAUGGAGGAACACCAGUGGCGAAGGCGACUUUCUGGUCUGUAACUGACGCUGAUGUGCGAAAGCGUGGGGAUCAAACAGGAUUAGAUACCCUGGUAGUCCACGCCGUAAACGAUGAGUGCUAAGUGUUAGGGGGUUUCCGCCCCUUAGUGCUGCAGCUAACGCAUUAAGCACUCCGCCUGGGGAGUACGACCGCAAGGUUGAAACUCAAAGGAAUUGACGGGGACCCGCACAAGCGGUGGAGCAUGUGGUUUAAUUCGAAGCAACGCGAAGAACCUUACCAAAUCUUGACAUCCUUUGAAAACUCUAGAGAUAGAGCCUUCCCCUUCGGGGGACAAAGUGACAGGUGGUGCAUGGUUGUCGUCAGCUCGUGUCGUGAGAUGUUGGGUUAAGUCCCGCAACGAGCGCAACCCUUAAGCUUAGUUGCCAUCAUUAAGUUGGGCACUCUAGGUUGACUGCCGGUGACAAACCGGAGGAAGGUGGGGAUGACGUCAAAUCAUCAUGCCCCUUAUGAUUUGGGCUACACACGUGCUACAAUGGACAAUACAAAGGGCAGCUAAACCGCGAGGUCAUGCAAAUCCCAUAAAGUUGUUCUCAGUUCGGAUUGUAGUCUGCAACUCGACUACAUGAAGCUGGAAUCGCUAGUAAUCGUAGAUCAGCAUGCUACGGUGAAUACGUUCCCGGGUCUUGUACACACCGCCCGUCACACCACGAGAGUUUGUAACACCCGAAGCCGGUGGAGUAACCAUUUAUGGAGC